CCUACGGGAGGCAGCAGUGGGGAAUUGUUCACAAUGGGCGCAAGCCUGAUGACGCAACGCCGCGUGGGGGAUGAAGGUCUUCGGAUCGUAAACCCCUGUCGAAUGGGACGAAAGACUCGCGAGUUAAUACUUUGCGAGAGUGACGGUACCGUUAAAGGAAGCCGCGGCUAACUCUGUGCCAGCAGCCGCGGUAAUACAGAGGUGGCAAGCGUUGUUCGGAAUUACUGGGCGUAAAGGGCGCGUAGGCGGCCUUCUAAGUCAGACGUGAAAUCCCCCGGCUUAACCUGGGAACUGCGUCUGAUACUGGGAGGCUUGAGUAUGGGAGAGGGAUGUAGAAUUCCAGGUGUAGCGGUGAAAUGCGUAGAUAUCUGGAGGAAUACCGGUGGCGAAGGCGGCAUCCUGGACCAUAACUGACGCUGAGGCGCGAAAGCUAGGGGAGCAAACGGGAUUAGAUACCCCGGUAGUCCUAGCCCUAAACGAUGAAUACUUGGUGUGGCGGGUAUCGAUCCCUGCCGUGCCGAAGCUAACGCAUUAAGUAUUCCGCCUGGGGAGUACGGUCGCAGGCUGAAACUUAAANGAAUUGACGG
rnacentral:rRNA from 1 species